rnacentral:rRNA from 1 species
UACGAAGGGGGCUAGCGUUGCUCGGAAUCACUGGGCGUAAAGCGCACGUAGGCGGUUUGUUAAGUCGGAUGUGAAAUCCCUCGGCUCAACUGAGGAAGUGCAUCCGAAACUGGCAAGCUUGAGUACGAAAGAGGAUCGCGGAAUUCCCGGUGUAGAGGUGAAAUUCGUAGAUAUCGGGAGGAACACCGGUGGCGAAGGCGGCGAUCUGGGUCGAUACUGACGCUGAGGUGCGAAAGCGUGGGGAGCAAACAGG